rnacentral:rRNA from 1 species
ACGAUGGAUCACCAGUGAGUGGCGGACGGGUGAGUAACACGUAGGUAACCUGCCCCGGAGCGGGGGAUAACAUUUGAAACAGAUGCUAAUACCGCAUAACAACAAAAGCCACAUGGCUUUUGUNUGAAAGAUGGCUUUGGCUAUCACUCUGGGAUGGACCUGCGGUGCAUUAGCUAGUUGGUAAGGUAACGGCUUACCAAGGCGAUGAUGCAUAGCCGAGUUGAGAGACUGAUCGGCCACAAUGGAACUGAGACACGGUCCAUACUCCUACGGGAGGCAGCAGUAGGGAAUCUUCCACAAUGGGCGCAAGCCUGAUGGAGCAACACCGCGUGAGUGAAGAAGGGUUUCGGCUCGUAAAGCUCUGUUGUUGGAGAAGAACGUGCGUGAGAGUAACUGUUCACGCAGUGACGGUAUCCAACCAGAAAGUCACGGCUAACUACGUGCCAGCAGCCGCGGUAAUACGUAGGUGGCAAGCGUUAUCCGGAUUUAUUGGGCGUAAAGCGAGCGCAGGCGGUUGCUUAGGUCUGAUGUGAAAGCCUUCGGCUUAACUGAAGAAGUGCAUCGGAAACCGGGCAACUUGAGUGCAGAAGAGGACAGUGGAACUCCAUGUGUAGCGGUGGAAUGCGUAGAUAUAUGGAAGAACACCAGUGGCGAAGGCGGCUGUCUGGUCUGCAACUGACGCUGAGGCUCGAAAGCAUGGGUAGCGAACAGGAUUAGAUACCCUGGUAGUCCACGCCGUAAACGAUGAGUGCUAAGUGUUAGGGGGUUUCCGCCCCUUAGUGCUGGAGUUAACGCAUUAA